CAAUUUUGCUUCCUUCAUCUUGAUAAGAAGGCAGCAAAUCAAAUUAGAACGGAUGAACAAAUCAUUAUGCCCCAAGGAUGCAUUGAAAGUUUUCUAGAUCUUGCACUAAAAUGAAAAGUGCUGUGAUUUUUAAUACUGUGCAAUUGGCUAAUUCCGUUGGUGGAUGUUUUCCUGCUGUGAGCACAUCUGCCUCCGGAGACUGUCUCCUCUCCAGUGAUGACUGACAGCCUCGUUCUCCAGACCAGACUGAGUGCAACUUCAAGAAGCCAGAAGUCACAACCUUCCCAGCCCGCGUCUACACCUGAUCCUGCCUGUGAGUGAGUGUUUUGUACCUCUCACCCAACGACACGUGUCCACUGCAAAGGCUGCAAAUCUUGCUCCACAAAUACUGAAUUUCAUGAGGUUAAUCAAAAUGACGUCGGAGGACUUCUGCAGUAACAGGAAGGACUACAAAGUCCCAGCUCCCACAGCCACUUCAGGCUGAAGAGGGAAGAUGUGGAACGCCUGCCAUACUCUGCUGGAGACACAUGAAUUAUGCCACGACUGUGAUCUAAUGUGAAGAAGCUCAAAUUCACCUCCCAAAUGUAUGAGACCCCUGCUUCACACAUCAGAGGAGCCUUCUGCAGUGAGCCCCUGCCAGGAAUGGAGUGAGCGAGCAGUGGGAGGUCUGUUUGCCAAUAUACAACUGGAAAUCCAAAGGCCAGAGGCAGUGGGUGUCCUUGCUCUAGUUCCCUGGGGCACCGCUAUCAGCCCUUGGGAAGAACUUCAGUUGUGUACAGGACUAAGGGGGAGGGGAGCGGCUCAUGCAGGGAAGCUUGAUCAAAUCACAGGAAACAAGAAAUCAUGAAUUUGGCUCCUUAAUUUUGCCAACUCAUUUGGAGGGCGAUGUUCAUCAACAUUAAGGCUGCUUUAAAAGGAAGUAAAUUAUUAGACUUACUAUC